rnacentral:rRNA from 1 species
AUGAGCUCGUCCUCGGCGCCUCGUGAUGACGCCACUAUGCAGCCGAGGGAGGAGGAGGAGAGGGAUGCCGUCAUCGCGAGGCGGACGGAGAGGAUGGCGUACUCGAGGGAGCUCCUGCUCGCCGUCGGCAGCUUGGAGGCAUGCAAGCUGCUGCCCGCCGACGCCGACUUGGCCAAGCACCCCGAUGACGCCGCACUGUGGGUUCCUUCCCAAACUCUGGCUGGAGGUGCUCCUGGAGGCCUAGGGGAUCCGGAAUUGCCUCGGCGAAACCGAGAGCCGGAGGAGUUUCAAGCAGGCGCAGGAAGCAAAUCCAAGCCAUGCGUCAGGUUCUUCAGGUAA